UCAACGCGUGUUGAUUAGAUAGGAAAACGCCAGAAGCUGUACAUUGAUUCACACCACACAUAAACAAUAGAUUUUACCGACCAGGUACUUUUCAAUUGAAAUCAUAACACUAUCUUUAAACCAUCUAGUAGUUGAUAACCAAAUCUUCGAGCUCUGGUCCAGGAGAGAAAAAAGACAUUGGGCUGCAUCCGGUCAGCAGCAAGUCCUGCAAACCAGUCUUACUGUCCACUGCUAUAGUCUUCAGCAACCAGGAUACAGUGGAGGUCCUAUCCCUGCAUCCGUCCAUAAAUACUGUAUACCCUCAGAAAUGAUUGAUCCCUUGCAGACUUCACUGCUCAUGAAGACAGGCCC